ensembl:lncRNA
AGAGAUAAAAAAACAAGCCCCUUUUGAGACUAAUGCAUAUGUAAAUCAGGCAGGCAGUGACAGAAACACACAAACUAUGCGGCAUGUGAAACAUCCUCUCGACCGUAAAGUAUAUCUAUUUUGUCAUUCAUCUGCCAGUAUGUGGGGUCCCUCUCUUCUGUGGCGACUUUUACUGUUUCUGCAGCUCGAACUCUCACAGAUAACUCUCACAGGCAGACAGAGUUCUGGCAGCUGUGACUUAAACUUACAUUAGCAUAAAAUAACCCUAGGUCAUGCGCAAACAGCUCAUGGGAAAGUAGCGCUAAGUUCUUGGGUUCCUCCAACCGCUCGAGCCUCCAUUAUAAACGGACAUUUCCACUGCACUCCGUUUUCCUAACCAAGCUGGCUCAGCCCACAGAGAAUAUCUGUGGUUUUGUGAUUACUAGUACAGCAAGAAUCGAGAAAAAAAAACACAAGAAAGAAGUCAAAAUAAAGACAAAAAAGUGAAAGAAACCAUUGCAAAAAUGGAGACGAUGUAGGAAGCCUGUCAAAGCUUGUUUUGUCUAUUUACAACACAGUCAUUGCUGCCGUCUGGAAUGCCUGGUUGUGACUAGAGUAAUAAUCAAGAAGGCUGCAGGCUGUGGGUUUCACACAAGAGCAUGCAUAAACUGUAUUUCUCCUUGUGAAUGGUGCAAAAGCUUAAACCAAUGUUGUGCAGGAUGGUUCAAAAAAAAAAAAAAAAAGAGCCUCUGGAGUCUGUUUUUAUUUAGCCCACGCUGAAUGUCUAAGCACGGAAGGGCCACGGUGGUAUCAUCCAGGUGGGUGGCUGCUAACAGCAGUGGAUGAGAGGUUUACCCGAGGCAUAUAUGUGUUUUCCAUUACAAACAGUAUCAGGUGGAAAAACACGUUUUGUAAAUUGGUUUUUUUUUUGUUCUCAAAGCCAUGUGCUGCACAGAUGGGAUAAAACUGGUGUCCACAAGCAGUUCUAAACAACUUGGAUGUCUUAGGGUGCAACCUCUUAUUAGCAAUAACAAACGAGUUUACUUAAAAAUAGGAAAGAAUACUUCCUCUGCAUGCUGUGUGAAAAAUGUGGGUAUUGAUUCCACAUUGCCCUGCCUCGCUAAGUGCCCGUCGUGGGGUCGAGUGGAAAGGCAUGCGUAGGAUCUGGUAUUUAUGGGAAGUGAGGAUGAUGUCAGAGCUCCAGAGCUCCAGAGUCCUCUGCAGACAUUUAGGGCCACGGCUGCUUUCAGCACGGGGCAGCACCCAUACACCUGAGAAUCAUUUAAAAGCUUUGGUAAUGGCGUGCGUGUGCUAGCAAGUUCAUAUGUUCGCGCACACCUACAGGGUGCAGAGUGAAGCUCCAGUCAUCUAAAUCACGGCGGCCAGCAUCAGAGACACAUCUGCAUCAUGCUUUCUCAGACUGAAUCACCCACCUGUGGUAUUAAAGAAUGUUAUUUGGUCCUGUCUGGUAUUUAGUUUUCCAAGAAAGCGAUUUUAAGAGCUAUGCAUCAUUUACAGAGUCACAGUCGAUGGUGAAGAACCAAAAAAAAAAGAAAGAAAGAAAAAGCGGCCUUUGAGAAGAAGAAGAAGAAGAAAAACAAACAAGACUAAAAAUCUGUCAUCGUGAAUGAGAAUGGGAUUCUCAUUACAAACCAGAACAGUUUGAAAGAUGCUGUGUUUACACUGUUUCCACCAGUGGCACAUAAAAAAAAUAUUAAUUUGUCACGGUGCUGAUGUGGGGCCACACUUCUAAUCCCAUUGCCACACCAUUAGAAGUUGCAUUAUACACUUGAUUACCGUCUGGGUGAAUGGGACCACAACACUGAGAGACUAGAUGGAAAAACAAAUGAUAGGUUCCAGCCCCACGUGACCGUCAGUUGAAUAAGUUGAAGAUAACACACCUUUAGUUUAGCUAUGAAACAACAGGUAAACACAGGUGUUAGUAAUUAUAUUAAUUAAGGCUCGCUCCCAAAUAGAAGAGAAGCUUCGCUGUUGUCAUCAGCGGUGUUUGUGCCGUGGCCCCGGGGUUUUUUGGACUUUUUAGAUUCUGCUUUAGCGUUCUCUAUUUAGUGGUAAGUUUGUUUACGUUUACAUGUGGAUUUUGAUGCUUUUCUUUAUUACCUCGAGCUAUUAGCUCUUAGUUCCUGUUCCUGUUUUUAUUAAAGUUUAUGAUAAUACUUUCUGACUUUCUGAGUUUAUUUACUUCUUCAGUAUUCCCUCUAUCUCUUCCUUGUGUCUUCCCCUCUGUCAAAUUAUUCAUGUCCCUGCAUUUCUCCUGUGUUUUCAUAAAAUUUC